CCUACGGGAGGCAGCAGUGGGGAAUAUUGCACAAUGGGCGCAAGCCUGAUGCAGCAACGCCGCGUGAGGGAUGACGGCCUUCGGGUUGUAAACCUCUUUUAGCAGGGAAGAAGCGAAAGUGACGGUACCUGCAGAAAAAGCGCCGGCUAACUACGUGCCAGCAGCCGCGGUAAUACGUAGGGCGCAAGCGUUAUCCGGAAUUAUUGGGCGUAAAGAGCUCGUAGGCGGUUUGUCGCGUCUGCUGUGAAAUCCCGAGGCUCGACCUCGGGCCUGCAGUGGGUACGGGCAGACUAGAGUGCGGUAGGGGAGAUUGGAAUUCCUGGUGUAGCGGUGGAAUGCGCAGAUAUCAGGAGGAACACCGAUGGCGAAGGCAGAUCUCUGGGCCGUAACUGACGCUGAGGAGCGAAAGGGUGGGGAGCAAACAGGCUUAGAUACCCUGGUAGUCCACCCCGUAAACGUUGGGAACUAGUUGUGGGGUCCAUUCCACGGAUUCCGUGACGCAGCUAACGCAUUAAGUUCCCCGCCUGGGGAGUACGGCCGCAAGGCUAAAACUCAAAGGAAUUGACGG
rnacentral:rRNA from 1 species